GCGGGCUUAUGUCUGAAUACUCGUGCAUGGAAUAAUAGAAUAGGAUCUCGGUUCUAUUUUGUUGGUUUUCUGAUCUGAGAUAAUGGUUAAGAGGGACGGACGGGGGCAUUCGUAUCGCUGCGUGAGAGGUGAAAUUCUUGGACCGUAGCGAGACGUCCGACUGCGAAAGCAUUUGCCAAGAAUGUCUUCAUUAAUCAAGAACGAAAGUCAGAGGUUCGAAGGCGAUCAGAUACCGCCCUAGUUCUGACCGUAAACGAUACCAACUAGCGUUCCGUCGGUGGUAAAUACGCCUUGACGGGCAGCUUCCCGGAAACGAAAGUCUUUCGGUUCCGGGGGAAGUAUGGUUGCAAAGCUGAAACUUAAAGAAAUUGACGGAAGGGCACCACCAGGAGUGGAGCCUGCGGCUUAAUUUGACUCAACACGGGAAAACUCACCUGGCCCGGACACCGUGAGGAUUGACAGAUUGAGAGCUCUUUCUUGAUUCGGUGGUUGGUGGUGCAUGGCCGUUCUUAGUUGGUGGAGUGAUUUGUCUGGUUUAUUCCGAUAACGAGCGAGACUCUAGCCUACUAAAUAGUCAUCGGAUAAACAAGUUCGGAAGACUUCUUAGAGGGACAAGCGGUGUUCAGCCGCAUGAAGCUGAGCAAUAACAGGUCUGUGAUGCCCUUAGAUGUCCAGGGCUGCACGCGCGCUACACUGGAGGAAUCAGCGUGCUGUAACCAUUGCCGAAAGGUAUUGGUAACCCCUUGAAAAUCCUCCGUGAUCGGGAUCGGGAAUUGCAAUUAUUUCCCUUGAACGAGGAAUUCCUAGUAAGUGUGAGUCAUCAGCUCACGUUGAUUACGUCCCUGCCCUUUGUACACACCGCCCGUCGCUGCCCGGGACUGAGCCGUUUCGAGAAAAGCGGGGACUGCUGUUUCGAGACCUUUCGGGGUGGAGAUUCUUUGGUGGAAACCGCCUUAAUCGCAGUGGCUUGAACCGGGCAAAAGUCGUAACAAGGUUUCCGUAGGUGAACCUGCGGAAGGAUCAUUA
rnacentral:ncRNA from 1 species